UGAAAGAGAACUAGACUCUCGAGAG
rnacentral:piRNA from 1 species